UGUUGGAAUAGAUUUCACUCAAGUGAUGGUGCACUAGCAUGUCUAGACAUGGGGUUGUUCAGACACCGCACAUUAUUGCUUGGUAUUAACAGUUGUUGCUGAAAAUGUGCAAAGAGACCGAUACUUGUUGCUGAAAAUGUGCAAGGAGACUUUCGAAGGGGCGAGUGGAAUUAUUGAAAGCAAACGUUGAAGCUGAGAAAACCAAUUGUUGGAAAUGUGCAAAUAGAUUGAAGUUCAUGAAAGAACAAAAGGUUGAACUUGACGCUAUAUGAGAAGAUAUUGACAGCCAGCGACAAAACUUGGAAGCGAGUUAUGAAGCAACUACCAACCGAAAAUCAAGACAAGUGACACAUUGUGUUAACAAUAUUGUUAUUUGAGUCUGGACAAGUGUGUUCAAGUACACUAUUUGACUAUCAAUGAUCAUUGUUUCGGUGCGAUU
rnacentral:lncRNA from 1 species